rnacentral:rRNA from 1 species
UAGGGAAUCUUCGGCAAUGGGGGCAACCCUGACCGAGCAACGCCGCGUGAGUGAAGAAGGUUUUCGGAUCGUAAAGCUCUGUUGUAAGUCAAGAACGGGUGUGAGAGUGGAAAGUUCACACUGUGACGGUAGCUUACCAGAAAGGGACGGCUAACUACGUGCCAGCAGCCGCGGUAAUACGUAGGUCCCGAGCGUUGUCCGGAUUUAUUGGGCGUAAAGCGAGCGCAGGCGGUUUGAUAAGUCUGAAGUUAAAGGCUGUGGCUCAACCAUAGUUCGCUUUGGAAACUGUCAAACUUGAGUGCAGAAGGGGAGAGUGGAAUUCCAUGUGUAGCGGUGAAAUGCGUAGAUAUAUGGAGGAACACCGGUGGCGAAAGCGGCUCUCUGGUCUGUAACUGACGCUGAGGCUCGAAAGCGUGGGGAGCGAACAGGAUUAGAUACCCUGGUAGUCCACGCCGUAAACGAUGAGUGCUAGGUGUUGGAUCCUUUCCGGGAUUCAGUGCCGAAGCUAACGCAUUAAGCACUCCGCCUGGGGAGUACGACCGCAAGGUUGAA